rnacentral:rRNA from 1 species
AGUCGAACGAAAUCUUUAGGGAUUUAGUGGCGGACGGGUGAGUAACGCGUGAGAAUCUGGCUUUAGGUCUGGGACAACCACUGGAAACGGUGGCUAAUACCGGAUGUGCCGAAAGGUGAAAGGUUAACUGCCUGAAGAUGAGCUCGCGUCUGAUUAGCUAGUUGGAAGUGUAAUGGACUCCCAAGGCGACGAUCAGUAGCUGGUCUGAGAGGACGAUCAGCCACACUGGGACUGAGACACGGCCCAGACUCCUACGGGAGGCAGCAGUGGGGAAUUUUCCGCAAUGGGCGAAAGCCUGACGGAGCAAUACCGCGUGAGGGAGGAAGGCUCUUGGGUCGUAAACCUCUUUUCUCAGGGAAGAACACAAUGACGGUACCUGAGGAAUAAGCAUCGGCUAACUCCGUGCCAGCAGCCGCGGUAAUACGGAGGAUGCAAGCGUUAUCCGGAAUGAUUGGGCGUAAAGCGUCCGCAGGUGGCAAUGUAAGUCUGCUGUUAAAGAGUCUAGCUCAACUAGAUNAGAGCAGUGGAAACUACAUAGCUAGAGUACGUUCGGGGCAGAGGGAAUUCCUGGUGUAGCGGUGAAAUGCGUAGAGAUCAGGAAGAACACCAGUGGCGAAGGCGCUCUGCUAGGCCGUAACUGACACUGAGGGACGAAAGCUAGGGGAGCGAAUGGGAUUAGAUACCCCAGUAGUCCUAGCCGUAAACGAUGGAUACUAGGCGUGGCUUGUAUCGACCCGAGCCGUGCCGUAGCUAACGCGUUAAGUAUCCCGCCUGGGGAGUACGCCGGCAACGGUGAAACUCAAAGGAAUUGACGGGGGCCC